CUCUGUUUUGUAAAAAUAAUAUCGUAAUAACAUGUACUGAUUCUGUUGUAAAUACAGUAGUAUUUACAGGACACA